ACGGACAGACCAGAACAAUUGGGGUGGAGUGCUCUGCUAGAGAGGCAGGGACCACUCCUCAAGGAAUGCAGUACCUGGACCACCUGAUAUAGUGCAAGAAGAUGUGAAGGGGAUUCUCCUUGCCAGAUUAUAAUGUGAUGACUUGAAAAAGUACCGAAGUGGAGUCAUCUCCCUCCUCCUCGUCCUCCUCCUCCUCAUUCCUCCAAACCACCACACUACAAACAAUGACAAGGCAUGGGCAUCCCUUCGAAAACGGCUAUGUUAAUGCCAGACUCCACCUUGAAGAUCGACAGACAAGUGUCACGGCCCUGAGACUUCAGGUAGACGGUUUUCUGCCCUCCUGCCGCACAAGGGGUUAUCGCUCAUGGGAACGGGCUGUGGAAAUGAUGAAAUCCCUGAGCGACCAGAGAGAGGCCGCUGUCGUCGCUCCAAAAUCUGCAGCAAAAAUCAAAUAAAACAAGAAGCAUCCGUU